UACGGGAGGCAGCAGUGGGGAAUAUUGCACAAUGGGCGCAAGCCUGAUGCAGCCAUGCCGCGUGUAUGAAAAAGGCCUUCGGGUUGUAAAGUACUUUCAGUCGUGAGGAAGGUGUUAAGGUUAAUAACCUUAGCAAUUGACGUUAGCGACAGAAGAAGCACCGGCUAACUCCGUGCCAGCAGCCGCGGUAAUACGGAGGGUGCGAGCGUUAAUCGGAAUUACUGGGCGUAAAGGGCACGCAGGCGGUUAAUUAAGUUGGAUGUGAAAUCCCCGGGCUUAACCUGGGAAUGGCAUUCAAGACUGGUUAGCUAGAGUCUUGUAGAGGGGGUAGAAUUCCAUGUGUAGCGGUGAAAUGCGUAGAGAUGUGGAGGAAUACCGGUGGCGAAGGCGGCCCCUGGACAAAGACUGACGCUCAUGUGCGAAAGCGUGGGGACGCAAACGAGGAUUAGACU
rnacentral:rRNA from 1 species